GCACCGAAGCGAAAACGGCGCACUUAAAUAUGCUGCUUUUCCAGACUUUACAUGCCGCUACGACAAAGCGAACGCGCCUAAAUCCUGUGAACCAUGUCAGCUGCUGUGCUACACUGACGUUCGGCUGCGCAGUCUCCAGCGAGAAAACUCAACGCCAGUAAAUCGCUCAGAAACUGCCUACGAAAGCGGAUCAUGAUGCACAAUGUGGGCGUGCUCACCGGAACGACAGCUACUUGAUACAAGCACGCUGCUACCGCAGCAAAAAGAAAACACAGCCCCCC